UGGUGUAGCGCUUCACGGCUACGAAAGUACAGCGUUUUAUAAAUU
rnacentral:misc_RNA from 3 species